CAGGUCUAAGAAUGGUAGAUGCUCAGUAUAACUUAAACGAGCAACCAAAUGAAGGCAAUUUUGCAACUGGUUUUGAAUGUUAUAUUCUGCUGAAGAAAGAUGGUAAAACCAUUUGUCGGACACGAUGCCUUAAUCCACUUAUUCAAAUGCCUCUUGUUUGGACCAUAUCUAAUAUAGUUUGACAAAAGCCA